GUGUGAAUCAAAAGAAAAAACUUUUUUCAAGUUAAUACAUGGUUCAGGAAAAGAAGAAACAAGCAAAGAAGCCAAAAUCAGAGCUAAGGAAAAAAGAAAUAGACUAAGUCUUCUUGUGCAGAAACCUGAGUUUCAUGAAGACACCCGCUCCAGUAGAUCUGGGCACUUGGCCAAAGAAACAAGGUGAAUAAAUUUUCAGUAUUUUGAGGAAGAUUUUGCUGAUUCUAUCAUUAAAGAUUUAAGAAAAAUGCAGUUAGGGAUUUCUGAUUUAUUGAAAAUUACACAGCAAUAUAAGGAAAGUUAGAAAUUUCAUUUGAAGAGACUAGAAAUAUUUCAUAAAAUUAAAUCACUUGAAUUAAAUCGCUUGAAUUGAAUAAUCACGUGAACACUUAAAGCUGCUCUUUUAAAAUUAUAUACCUGUCAGUUUUAAAUGACAUGUUUUACUCCUUAUAACCUGAUAAAAUGCUCAUUAAUUUAAGAGUUUUCACAAUGCAAUAUUGUCAUAGCAGAGAGAUAUUCAUCUCUUUCUUCAGUAGUUUGAAAAAACACACGCAUUAUAGCAAGUAAAGCACAAAUAAUGUCUUUUAAUACUUAGCAUUUAUUUAAUUCAAAAAGAAAAUGCAAAAACCUUAUAUACUAGUUUCAUACAAAUUCUUCCAAAUUAGAGUAUAAUAAAAAAGAUCCGAGAAAAUAUAUUCAAUUCUCCACAUUACCAACAUCUCUAGAAUAUUUUUUCUAUUAAAAUAUCUUAUAUUUCUUAUCCCUUUGAAACUUUAUUAGUCAAACUUCCUGUAUCCGUUUAAAAAAAAAAUUUGCAGCCUAGUGUGGUUACAGCUUCAAGGAAAUUGCAGUAUAAUUUUUUUUUAACUGAAAGAUACUGUGAGUUUAGUUUUUUUCUACUUGCUGAAUUUAAACAGAUAGUUGACCUGAUUUCUUUAUAUUUGUUAUCUGUGCCCUUUAACCUAAAAAAGGAUUAAUUUUUAAUUAAAAAAUAAAACUCACAUAUCCAUGAGAAAAAAAAUAAUGUUAUUUCAACACAUUAUUCAACAGACAAAUUCCAAAAGAAAAUUGAACAAUGUUUUCAAAGUUUCUAAUGUAAAUGCAAUUUUCAUUAUAUUAUAAUCAAAGGAGAAACUGUGAAAUAUAAUUGAAAAGAGCAGUAAAAUAGCAUAUGUUAGAACAGAUUCAUAAACAGACUUUCUGCACACUCCAUUAUAAAACAUUUUGUUUCUUGUACAGAGUCUCCCCUGAAGAGGCAGUGAAAUGGGGUGAAUCAUUUGACAAACUGCUUUCCCAUAGAGAUAGAAAGACUCAACUGAGCAGGUGAUGCAGCUAGUCUAGUUACAACUGGAUGAUGAUCAAUUAGAGGGUGAAAAUUUCAAUUGACAAUAACAUAUAGACAGGAUUUCUUUCACUUAAUGAAUUAGUAUAUAAUAAUUUCAUCAUACUUUCAUUACUCAUUCAAAGCAUAGAAAGAUUUAGCAGGAUGAUUAGUCCUACAGAAAAUCCUCACCUAGCAUUCUGUAAUCUUUCUUCUUUAAAAGUGGUAAAAAGCAAAAGGACAAAAUCGAAUUUGCUACUCUCUCUUUUCUCUACUGGUAAUAUUGAAGAACAGUAAACUAUCUGCAAUUUAAAUCAAGAAGAGACACAUUUAAAGAAAUCAGCACUGACCCACUGGAUAUUAUCACUUGUCAUGAUUACAAUGCUAAAUAUAUUAUAUUGAAUUCACAGAAUUUAUAUUACCAGUAUUAUUUUACUCAAUCUCCCCUAAUCCAAUUAUUUUUAUUACAAUGCUUAUAAUAAUAUUAAAUUGUCAAACUUAAAAUAAUCACCUAAAACAAGCCUUUUGUUUGCAGUGGUUAAAUUCAGUUUAUUUCUAUUUAUUUGACUCUAGUAGAAAAGUGUGUGUGUGAAUAUAUAUAUAUAUUUUUUUUUUUUCUUUUUUUUAAAGAGAAAGAUCCUACACACACACACACUUCAAGAAAGACAUUGCUCUAUCAAAUUUUAUCAAAUUUCCUUUUAUAAAAUUUUAUAAAAUGCAUACUUUUCUCAAAUUCUGUAUGUUAUGUCAUUAAAAGGAAACAAAAUUUACUCAGUUUAUUCAAAUGAGAAAUUAAGUGAUAAAUCAAACCAGAUACAAUGGAAAUUUGGGUAUUCAAUUUGACAAAAACAGUUAAUAUUAGAACCAUCAUAAACUGAUUAUUAGCAGUUUUAGGAAUGAAACCACAGGAUGGAUGGUUUUUACCCUAGAUUUUAGGGGAUUAAUCAAAAUUCACUAGCCGAACAAGGACAGAAGGAGACCAUCCAAGCAAAGAAUCAGUAUAGGAAUGGGGCGUUAAACAAUAUAAUUUAGUUAGGGAAUUAAAACCAAAACAAUUCUUUAUUGAAAAAUACAAUUUGAAAAGGGAUGGUGGCUUAGGGUGACAGACAAUAUAUCCAUGAGACCAAAACAGAAAGGUCACUGAUUUUUGCUCUAUUCCACAGAAAUCAAAUGAUUCAGGGAGGUGUUCUGAUAAUUCUAUUUUAUUCUAAUUUUAGUCACACAGUUUAACUUUUUUAAAAUUAAAAAAAAAAUGAGUAAAUAUAAACUUCAGUUCAAAAUUAUGCAUCAGUGUUGUUUCAGUAAUUGCAACAAAUGUCCCAUACCAACAUAAGAUAUUAAUAACAGGGAAAUUGAAUCGGGGGCAUAUUACCUUCUUCUAAAUCUGUACUACCUUCUGUACUACCUUCUUGUUGUGGGAAGUCAGGGACCCCGAAAGAAGGGACCAGCUGAAGCUAUGGCAGAAGAAUAUAAAUUGUGAAGAUUUCAUGGACAUUUAUCACUUCCCCAAUCAAUACUCUUAUAAUUUCCUAUGCUUGACUUUACUUUAAUCUCUUAACCCAAUUGUCUUCAUAAACUGAGGAUGUAUGUUGCCUCAGGACCCUGUGAUGAUUGCGUUAACUGUGUAAAUUGUUCGUAAAGCAUGUGUGUUUGAACGAUAUGAAAUCUGGGCACCCUGAAAAAGAACAGGAUAACAGCAAUGUUCAGGGAACAAGGGAGAUAACCAUUAGGUCUGACUGCCUGGGACCCGGGCAGGACAGUCAUAUUUCUCUUAUUGCCGAAAAUGGGUAAGAGAAAUAUCACUGAAUUAUUUCCCCAGUAAGGAAUAUUAAUAAUUAACAGCCCUGGGGAAAGAAUGGAUUCCCCGGGGAGGCCUCUAAAAUGGCCGCUCUGGGAGUGUCUGCUUUAUGCCGUUGUAGGUAGGGAUGAAACAUGCCCUGGUCUCCUGCAGCACCCCCAGGCUUGCUAGGAUUAGGAAAUUCCAGCCUGGUGAAUUCUAGACAGACUGGUACUCUGCUCUUGAACCCUGUUUCCUGUUAAGAUGUUUAUCGACGACAAUGCUUGCACAGUGGGACUUGAAACUUCAUCAGAAAUUGUAGUUUUGCCCUGGCCUUGUGACCUUGUCCUGCCCAUUUGCCUUGUGAUAUUUUAUUGCCUUUGAAGCAUGUGAUCUCUGUGACCCACACUGUGUUCGUACACUCCCUCCCCUUUGAAAAUUGCUAAUAAAAACUUGCUGGUUUUGUGGCUCAGGGGGCAUCACGGAACCUGCCGAUGUGAUGUCUCCCCUGGACACCCAGCUUUAAAAUUUCUCUCUUUUGUGCUCUUUCCCUUUAUUUCUCAGACUGGCCGACACUUAGG
rnacentral:lncRNA from 1 species